CAACAGGGAUUGCCUCAGUAACGGCGAGUGAAGCGGCAACAGCUCAAAUUUGAAAUCUGGCCUCCUUGGGGGUCCGAGUUGUAAUUUGUAGAGGAUGCUUCGGCGUGGGCCCCGGUCUAAGUUCCUUGGAACAGGACGUCACAGAGGGUGAGAAUCCCGUACGUGGCCGUGGGUGCUCGCCAUGUGAAGCUCCUUCGACGAGUCGAGUUGUUUGGGAAUGCAGCUCUAAAUGGGAGGUAUAUUUCUUCUAAAGCUAAAUAUUGGCCAGAGACCGAUAGCGCACAAGUAGAGUGAUCGAAAGAUGAAAAGCACUUUGGAAAGAGAGUCAAAAAGUACGUGAAAUUGUUGAAAGGGAAGCGCUUGCAACCAGACCUGUCUGCAGUUGCUCAUCCGGGCUUCUGCCCGGUGCACUCUUCUGCAGUCAGGCCAGCAUCAGUUCUGGCGGUCGGAUAAAGGCGGUGGGAAUGUGGCUCCUCUCGGGGAGUGUUAUAGCCCAUCGUGCAAUGCGGCCAGCUGGGACUGAGGUCCGCGCUUCGGCUAGGAUGCUGGCGUAAUGGUUGUAAGCGGCCCGUCUUGAAACACGGACCAAGGAGUCUAACAUCUGUGCGAGUGUUUGGGUGUCAAGCCCAGGCGCGUAAUGAAAGUGAACGGAGGCGGGAACCUUCGGGUGCACCGUCGACCGAUCCUGAUGUCUUCGGAUGGAUUUGAGUAAGAGCAUAGCUGUUGGGACCCGAAAGAUGGUGAACUAUGCCUGAAUAGGGUGAAGCCAGAGGAAACUCUGGUGGAGGCUCGCAGCGGUUCUGACGUGCAAAUCGAUCGUCAAAUUUGGGCAUAGGGGCGAAAGACUAAUCGAA
rnacentral:rRNA from 1 species